CUGGGGCUCCCAGAUUUCACGAUGCUUCCCUCUAUCCCGCCUCAUUGACCCCUGGACAACCCUGAAAUAUCAUCGUCAGCAUUAUUUCAUCGGAAAGAAGGGCAGCAAGAGAGGCCGGAUGAUUCUCCCAAGGCCACACAGCUAAUUAGUGGGCAGAGCCCAGUCUAGAAGCCAUCUCACCAUCUGACACCUUUCGACAAAGUGCAAAACGCGGUGGUGAGAGACGAGGACACAGACAUUAAGAUUCCGCUCCAGCCCUAGAGGCACUGAGAAUCAGAACGUGAACUACUCUUCACUCCAGGCAGAAAGCAAGAGGCUUGGAUGAGUUUUAGGAAACCAGCACAGUGUCGGGCACAGAGCGCUCAAUGAAUAGAUGUGUAACAACAAAGUAGGGAUCCAACAGAGGAAGAAAUAAUUUAUUGUAAGGUGGCCUUUGGGAAAGCUCUCAGAAAGGUGGAUGAAUCACUUAAGAGGAAUGGACUCCAGCAGCAUCACAGAAUCAAAGCAACACCUAAGGAAUUCACUGUUUCUUCACAUACUUUGAACUGUGAAAACAAGAGUCAUCAUAAUAGCUGCAGUUUACUCAGUACCUACCAGGUACUGUCACCUAUACUGUCUCUAAAGCCCCUACAACCCUGAGCUAAGGAUGAUCAUAUCCCCAACUGCAGAUGAUGACACUGAAGCUCAACGGCUACUCAACUUGCCUGGAAUCCUACAGCAAUUAACAAAAACCAGCAUCACGCUCAAGGUUUUGUGAACUUAUCAGUUCCCUUAUUUCAACUCCUGGUCCUGUUGGAAAAAGUGACAGUUGGGAGGCAGAACUGCGCAUGGUAGCCCAGAGCUCUUACCAUCUGAGCCACGUGCCCAUUCAUUUCUCAUUUCAGAAUACUGCAUUGUGUCACAAGAAUUCAACUAUGUACUCAUGGAGAAGGAGGGAGAAAGCAAGGAAGGAAAAAAGAGAAAAGUAAUUUACAUAGUAACAGCAAUUCUGCUCAACAUUCCAUUCAGUGAGCCGAUACCCUGGAGUGCAGAAACUGUUAUGAAUGUACUCCACCAAGGCAAGAAAGGAAGAAGACAUGGAAUUUAAAAAACAGAGGAUCUACUAUGAAAGAGAAAGGUGAAGGGAAUUCCAGGCUGAUGGUAAAUGCAAAUUCCAGGAUGAGAGUUGGGCAGCAGGCCUAGAGUGCACUCCGUCCUGGGAGGAGCCAGAUGAUAGAGGGCUCUAGGAGAGAAGGCUCCAAGGGAAAAUGAAACAAGAGGAGGAGAAGAAACAGGCUUACGCUGAGCGAAUCCAAUGUGCAGACAGACACACAGGGAAGGUGACCAUUUGAAGACGGAGGCAGAAACUGAAGUUGUGCAACUGCAAACCAAGAAAUGCCAUGGAUUGCCAACAACCACCAGGAACUAGAAGAGGCAAGGUAAGGUUCAGCAAAGUCUAUGUCAUUCUCUAAUCCUUUUGAUCCAGCGGAUUCUUUGGAGGAAUUUGAAUACAUAUUGGAUUUUGCAUCCAGGUUUGCAAGAGGAAAAUACAAAGGUGACUUCUGGGCCUGCUGGAGGUGGAGGGUAGAGGAUGGACAGCUGACAUCUAGUCACAGAGGAAAGAACACAGAAAGAGAUCUCCAGUUAAAGCUGAUAGAUUGAACCACAGACAACCCACCUCCUUCUAAAAUCCCUCUAGAACAAUGGUUUAAAAAAAGUGCUUUAACAUAAAACUUCAAAAUCAAAAAGAUAAGGAAAAUGAUGAAAACCACUCAGAUAAGAAGAGAGGAUAUUUAUGCAGAGGCUGCUGUCGUUGGGAGUCCGCCACCAUACCACUAUACUUUGGUGAGACUUGAAGGCAGGCAGGGAGUGGAAACACUUUAUGCUGUAGUGAAAAAAGGGGAAGGCUUCGGUAUGCUCUGACUGGAGAUCAUUGUCAUGGGGAAACUGCAGGUGGGCUAACUAGAGGCUGGGCUUCUUGUGUAAUGGUUUGGCUUUCUCUGGUUGGUCCUGUGUUGAAAAUAGGGGCAAAAUAUAGGGAAGCUGACUCAUUGACCAAGCCCUGCCCAGGCUGGCCAAUUGCAGAGGUUGUGGGUCAGAGUUCUAUUGUCAUAUAUGGUCUGGCUACUGUCUGUUUAUAUAAUCCGUCUCUCAGAGAACAGUAGAGGAGAUCAAAUUAUUAACAUUUUGGAAGCUGGAAAGCAGGAGGAUAGUGUGAGCUGAAUUAGCAGACUUGCCAUCUAUCAAAGGGGAUAGCCAAAAGCAAGCCAGAUUUGCCCCAGAGAACCACCAAAGGUUCAAGAAUUGGCAGCACCAGGUACCCCCAGAAGCAGGGAUAAAGUGGGGGCUGAAAUUGGACAGUUGGUUCAAAGUCUAUUUCAGAAGCAUUAGACCACUGGAUUUCUUCCCCAGCUCCCAAAUGACUGCCUGGUGCAAAAGACUCAGGAUUGAUUCCCUGGAGAGGGUAGGUAGUUCUUUGUCUAGUUAAGGAUGGGAUGCCAUAACAAACAUGCCAAUUCAGUGAAAGUACCUACUUUCAAGACUCCUGCUUAACUCCCCUAAAUCAGCAGCCAAUGUUAGAAGCCAAGUGUUAAAGUUUUUCAGAUAAUUUUGCUAUAAGCCUAUGGAGAAAUUUCAUUACCAUCUCAUAGCAAGGCCUAUAGUAUAAGAGCAGGCCUAUAGUAGCAUAUGGGGGAAAGUCUAAAAGACUUUGAAAUGGACCAAAAGAUUAUUGAGAAAUGGAAAACUGCAUUGUUUUAAGUAUCCCUUUCCAACUUAUCAGAUUCUGUGGGGUUUAUACCUUUCAUUGUCUUUGAGGUAUUUAACAAUUCUAAAGAGAUAGACUCUAACUUGUAGAAAACUAAGAGUAACAUAAAUAAUUAUCGUCUUUAGAUAUACAAAUAAAUUCUGUUCUGAGAA
rnacentral:lncRNA from 1 species